rnacentral:other from 1 species
ACUUCCUAAGCCGGAACGAAAAGUGAAUCAGCUUAACGCUAUGAAACUUUUGGCUUUGUGGUUGUGAUGUUGUGUUUGCAAGUUGUCUGGGAAACCAGACCCUGUAGCUUAAGCUACUGUUUUUUUUUCACUUCCUGUACAUUUACCCUGUCUGUCCAUAGUGAUUUUUUAAUGCACCGCAGUUGCGGUGCUUUUUUUU